rnacentral:RNase_P_RNA from 1 species
UUGUCAAGACAAUCGCGGCUGGCGCUUGACGCCAGAUGAGGAAAGUCCGGGCUCCACAGGGCAGUGUGCUGGAUAACGUCCAGCGAGGGUGACCUUAGGGAAAGUGCCAUAGAGAUUUAGACCGCCUGCUUGUCAGGUAAGGGUGGAAAGGUGCGGUAAGAGCGCACCAGCAGUCAGGUGACUGGCUGGCUUGGGUAAACCCCACACGGAGCAAGACCAAAUAGGGAAGUUGAGCCGGCAGGCAACUGCCGUGCCUAGAUAAAUGAUUGUCACCGCGCAAGCGGAACAAAACUCGGCUUAUUGAUUG